GGUGCGUCCCCCGGUACCAAAAUUUAUAAAAGACUAACAGUUUGUCUAAUUCACAUCUAGAUGUUUUUUAAGGAUGUCACGUCUAAGCUCCCACAAAUAUAUAAUGCAUCAACAAAAAACAAAAAAAAACUUGAAAAAAAAAAUAGACCACAAUCAGAGUGAAAAUCAGCUUAGAUGUGACAUAACUAUGCCACAUCUAGAUGUGUCCUAGACAGACCCACAAAGACUAAAAUGUUUAGCAAAACAAUGUCGUGUGUUCUACAAAAGGAAAAAAAACAGAUGAGUGUACGCUGUGAAUUACUCGCAGCAAAAAUUUCCACUUUGUAGAGAGUAACUGGGCGCAGAGACGAUGCUCGCCGAUUUAACGCUGAAUUUUGUUCCCAGACGCUGUUUUUCUCUGAUAGUAGGAGUAUAGAACAAGAAAAAACUGAACAAGUGCUGGUACAGAGAGAGCACCAAUCCUGCCUGCCAAUGUGCCGGAAAGCCCUAUCACUGCCCAGGGUGGGUAUGGCUGCUGAUCUACUGGGGUUUUCUUCUUCUAGCAAGUCCAGCCAUCACGCUGUGGUGGUUCAACAAGCGUGAUGUCACGGCCUCGUCACAUUGCCGCGUCAUGCUAGGCUGCUAG
rnacentral:lncRNA from 1 species